GAAAUGCGAUACGUAAUGUGAAUUGCAGAUUUCAGUGAAUCAUCGAAUCUUUGAACGCACAUUGCGCCCGCUAGUAUUCUGGCGGGCAUGCCUGUUCGAGCGUCAUUUCAACCAUCAAGCCCCCGGGCUUGUGUUGGGGACCUGCGGCUGCCCGCAGGCCCCGAAAACCAGUGGCGGGCUCGCUGUCACCCCGAGCGUAGUAGCAACACCUCGCCCAGGGAGUGCCGCGGGUUCCGGCCGUAAAACCUCGCCCUCGCGCGAGAAACCCCCCCCAAAGGUUGACCUCGGAUCAGGUAGGAAGACCCGCUGAACUUAA
rnacentral:misc_RNA from 1 species